CGGCAGAACAGCCAAGAAAAAAGGGAGGCCGACCACCAGGUGCUCAGAAUAAAGUUAACAAGAUAGGGUGUCUUGCGAAAGGAAAGGAAACACUGAUUGAAAUUACAGAAGAAGAGAAAACUGGAACUAAGAAAAGGAAAAUUUUGGAGUUUGUUUCAUUGGAUUGCUCUCUGCUACCACCAUCCUCAAACCCUCACCACAUCACCCAACCUCAUACUGCUGCACCUACUGCUACUCCUGCAGAUGUACACUCCGAUGCUCAAUCUCUAGAUCUAAUUUUUCAACUCCUCACUCGUCCAUCAAUUGCUAAUCAUCUUGUUCAUCGAGGAUUGUUAAGCAAAGAUAUCCUUAAUCGUAUUCCAACCACAACUGCUGAGCAACUUCCAUUCAACCAAUCAGUAACAAAUACCACUAAUCCAGACCAUACUGAUCCCAUCAAUAACAAAAAUUAUUCACCAACUAUAAGUGAAGAAGGGACUUCACAGAUAUCUCAGUCUGAACCUUAUACUGGUACCGAUAAUUUCGUCGCUAUUGAUCCAUCUGAGACCGAGGAAUCCAGGGCUAUACUGAUGAGUGUGAUUCGUCAUGAAACCAACCUCAAUCAAAGCUCCUUGCUGAUAUCUUCUAAUAGUGCGCUACAUAACGAGGUUUGCUCUCUUCAAACAUUCUAUUACCUUUUCCUUAUCUCCUACCAUGUGCCUGAAAAUUUCAUAACAAAUUCUAGUCUCAUCAAAAAUAAUUCUAACUGCUCUUUAUAUUUCAACUAUUACUCUAACACAACACAACCUCAUUUUUUUCAUUUUACCUCAUCAUCUCCCUUACACCAUAGUACUUGGUCAUAUCUUGCUGUUGAUACUCACUAUACUUACUACACAAAUACUACCAUACUCUACUAUUAUGCUUGCCUAGAUUAUUGCUCCACUAAUCUACAUCUUAUCAUAUGGUACUUUAGUUACUCACAUUGCUAUAUCUACGAAUUGCAUAAGUUCUGGUUACUUGGUUUGUAUACUUGUAUAUGGUCACUUAGCUACUUGGUUGGUAUUGUGUUUCAAGAUAUGAAUAUACUAGCUUGGAACCUUUGGGGUUGUGAUAAUGUUCAGACAAUAAGAGCUCUAAAAGAUUUAAUUAGAGAACAAAAACCUCAAAUCAUCUUCCUAUCUGAAACUAAAUCUUCACCAAAUUCUACUCUCUCCCUGAUUAACUCUCUUAAUUACCAACACUAUCACUUUGUUGAACCAAACCACCAUGCUGGUGGACUCCUCCUCCUUUGGUCAACAAAUGUUCAUCUCCAAGUCAUCUCCUCAAAUCAAUAUAUUAUUAAUACCAUAAUAAAUCAAAAUGAUAACAGUUUACCUUUCUCUGCUUCUUUCUUCUAUGGGAGCCCCUACACCCAACUUAAAGACUUCAGUUGGAGUUUCCUCAAAAAAGCUUGUGAUACUGCCCCUGUUCCUUGGAUGGUUAUAGGAGAUCUGAAUGUCAUCUUCUCCCAGUCUGAAAAAAUUGGAGGUCUUCCUUUUGAUACCAACGAAUGUAAGUUUGCUUCUGAUAUCACUAAUGAACUUGGUCUUAUAGACUUAGGUUUUAUUGGUGAACCUUUUACCUGGUGCAAUAAGAGGUGUAACCCCCAUAACAUCAGAAAAAGACUCGAUAGAUGUCUCUGCACUACCAGCUGGCACCUAUCCCAUCCUGAGGCAAAGCUGCACCAUCUGCCAGCUAUUGCUUCUGACCACUGCCCUAUACUUCUACGUAUAAGUCCCCCUCUGCAUGGUGGGCCUAAACCUUUCAAAUUUCAAAAUAUGUGGGUUCGCGAUGAAAAUUUUAACUUUGUGGUUGAUAUGGCCUGGAAAAGAGUGCAUAUCCCAUUACGUCACACUUGUCCUCCACUAAAAAAGCUCUUACCAUUUGGAAUAAAAAUGUGUUCGGAAACAUUUUUCACAAAGUUUCUUCCCUUAAAAAGAGGAUCUCUAAUGUCCAAUCCCAGCCUUGCUCCCCUCAAAACAAAGAUCUGGAAAGAAAUCUGAUCAAUGAACUUGAUGAAGUUCAAGCCAGAGAAGAGAUAGCUUGGCAACAAAAAUCUAAUGACAGAACAAUUCUUGAGGGAGACAAAAACACAAAGUUUUUUCACAUCUCCUGUCUCAUUCUCAGAAAUCAUAAUACUAUUGAGUCUAUUCUUGACUUAAAUAACAACAGAACCUUCGAUAAAAGAUCUAUCCAUAAGAUCUUCAUUGACCAUUUCACUCAUCUUCUCUGCCCCCAUGUCAUCCCUCUCUCCCCUAGUCAAAAGCUGACUAUCUCUGAAUUUUUCCCUACCUGCAUGUCCCUGGAAGAUAAGGAAAUGCUUAACAGAGAUAUCACUCCUGAGGAAAUUAAAUUCUAUAUGUUCGGUAUUGGUCCUCUAAAGGCUCCUGGCCCUGAUGGCUUCACUAGCCUUUUCUUCCAAAAAUCUUGGGGAAUAGUUCAACCGGAACUAUAUAAACUUGUUAUGGAUUUCUGGAAAAAUGAUAAAACUAUUGAGCACAUUAAUCACACCAACAUUGCCUUAAUCCCUAAAUGUGACUUCCCAAACCACCCUUCUGACUUUAGACCUAUUAGUCUUUGCAAUGUGACUUACAAGGUUCUAUCCAAAUUGUUGGCUGAUAGGCUCAGGGAUCUCCUACCAAAGAUAUGAUUAUCUCCCCUCUUCAGUGUGCCUUUGUCCCUAACAGACAAAUCUCUGAUAAUGUCUUGUUGGCUCAUGAGAUAAUCCACUCUCUUAGGAGGAAACAAGGAAAAUAUGGGGUCAUGGCCAUAAAGAUUGACAUGUCCAAAGCUUUCGAUAGAGUAAACUGGGAAUGUCUAUGGAAAUUCUUAAAUGUUUAGGUCUCCCCCAUAAUUUCAUGGAUCUUAUUCACAAGUGUAUAUCUUCUAUCCACUCCUCUGUCAUUAUCAAUGGCACCCCCCAUGGUUACUUCAAACCUACUAAUGGGCUCAAACAAGGGGACCCCAUAUCCCCCUCCCUCUUCAUCAUUUGCAUGGAGCUUCUUUCUAGACUAAUUCAACAAAAAUGUAACCAGAAAAAAAUAAAUAGUAUCAAAGUCUCUAGUAAUAGCCACCCUAUCUCUCAUCUGCUAUUUGCUGAUGAUAUCUUUAUUUUCUGUAAUGCUAACAUUGAUGAAGCUCUAGAGUUACUCCAAACUCUUCAAACUUUCACUUCUAUCUCUGGCCAAGAGAUAAACUUCUCCAAAUCGGGCAUUCUUUUCAGUAAAAACACUCCCACCCAUACUCAAAGUCAAAUUCAAACUACCCUCCAUAUGUCUCAGUUGAAUAAAGAGGAUCUUUACCUUGGGACUCCCCUCUUCCUUGGCCAAAAGAAAUCCUUACUUUUCAAAAAUCUCAUCUCUAGGGUUGAGAAAAGACUUGUUGGCUGGAAAAGUAAAGUAUUAUCCCAGGCUGGUAGAACUGUCUUGAUCAACUCGGUCACUUCUGCCAUCCCUUCUUACCAAAUGACCUGCUUCAAAAUUCCUAAGUCCAUCACUGAUAGACUCAAUCAACUCCAAAGAGAUUUUUGGUGGGGGCAAAUGGAAACUAAACAGAGGAAAAUGCAUCUCAUUAGUUGGACCAAAUUAUGCCAACCUAAAUGCAAAGGAGGUCUUGGAAUUAAAAACCUCGACGAUCAAAAUGAUGCCCUCCUCAGUAGGAUUGCCUGGAGAAUCAUCACCCAACCUGAGAACCUAUGUUCUAGCAUCCUUCGAUCCAAAUACUUUCCUCUUAACUCUCCUCUUCAUCACCAUAUUCACCACUCUCCCUCCUGGACCUGGAAUUCUAUUUCUACUGUUAUUAAAAAAAUCACCAAUGUCAUAUGUUGGGACAUUGGCACUGGGUCUUCCAUCCCCAUCUGGGACUCUAACUGGAUCCCUUCCAGCCCAAACUUCAAGCCUUUACCUCUGGCCAACACCAACUUCAUCCUUCAUUCUAAUAUCCAUUAUGUUAACCAACUCCUUCUUCCUAACACUAAUCAGUGGAAUAGUAAUCUUCUUGACCAACUUUUCACUCCCUGUACGAUCCAUCAUAUUAAAAGUACCCCUGUUAAAGGUCACCAUUGUGUUGAUAGGCUUAAAUGGAUGGGAACUAAAAAUGGUCUGUUUAGUGUUAAAUCCUCUUAUAAGUACUUAACUAGGAAUGAACAUAACACUCCCUUCAUUGCUAAAACUCAUCUUAAAAUGUGGAAAACUUUUGCUACUCCGAGAGCUAUUCUCUUUGCUUGGAAAUGCCUUUUCCAAGGAGUUCCUACUAAAGAAAGAAUAGGGAGACACAUCCCCCUAACUUCCAAACUUUGUCCCAUGUGUAGCCAUCCUAGUGAGACUCUAAAACACAUGCUCCUUGAUUGUCCUUAUACUCAAGCAGUGUGGUUUCUCUCACAUUGGAACUUCAGAUUAAACCACUUCCACAAUUUAAAUGAAAUCCAAUGGAUUAACAUAUGGUUUGACCCUCCCAAAGAUUGGCUGGUUAAUAUUAAUGAUUGGAGCUCCUAUUGUGUGACCAUUACAUGGGCUAUCUGGAAAUGUAGAUGUGAUAAAGUAUUCAAUGGAAUUCUGUUGGAUCCUAUGUUAUUGGCAAAGAAAGUGGAUGCUCAGCUGAGCAAGACUUUCAGGAAUAGAAUGACCACCUGUGACUCUCAAUCUACACUGCCAUCCCCAUGCUCUUUAUGGAUACCACCUUCAGAUGGCUAUUGCAAGAUAAAUGUGGAUAUUGCGUUCCAAACUGCUGAUACGAACAUAGGCAUUGGUAUGCUAAUCAGAGAUACAUAUGGAAAAUUUCUAUUUGCAAGCAGUGAAACAGGCAAGGCAGGCUCUCCAGCUGAGGCAGAAUGCGCAGGCAUCUUAUCUGCCUGCAAGACAGGACUCCAGCAACAUCUGAGCAAGGUGGUGAUAGAAACUGAUAACCUAUCAGCAGCUAACUACAUGAAUCGAAAGCAAGCAAACUUAUCUUGGGUGGCUUUAAACAUUUUGGAUGAGGCCCUAUUUAUAUCUAAGUCUUUUUCUUCUAUUUAUUUUAUGCACUGUAACAGGAGUGGGAACUGCUCGGCUCAUAUCAUUGCGCAGCAUACUGAUUUAAGCAGCUUGGUUCCCACUACCUUUUCCUUUCCUCCAAUCUGGCUGAUAGAACAGCUAGA
rnacentral:lncRNA from 1 species